rnacentral:lncRNA from 1 species
GGGCAGGUGACCGAUAGAGAAGAAGACAGUUCAGCAGCAACUCUCGUCACUUUGGGCAGAGGUUUGACUUUGUGGCAUUUGUACAAGCCACCAGGCAAAGGGGGAAAGAAUGCUGUAGGGGACCAUACCUAAGGGACCAAAAGAUACCCACUGUUACUGAAGCAUUUCGACCUUUGACCUCUGCCCUAAUUCCUUCCUCUCCUAGUCCUUUUCCUCCGCCCAGGUGUCAUAGCACCGCCCCAGUUGUGGCAGUAGACAUUCGCACGGACAUUUAGAUGGAGUCCUCUUGGAAAAUAGGGCUGUUCGCAAUGUGGUUGUGAUUGCCAGCAGUUUGGAUGGCGUUAAAGUGGAGUUCAGGGUUGAACAUGUCCCGCUCUUCUUCCCACAAGAACCUUGGACUUUCAGGAGCCUCAGGAUCAGUCCUCUAGCAUUUCCUUCACCUUUCUCAUGGACAGGGACAGCGUGUCUGUGUGUGGAGGGUCGGGGUUACAAGGUAAGCUAGGUCACACACCUGCCGCUCGUCCUCCCCCUGCUGCAGUCUCUUAGGUCUCACUCGCACUGGAAUGCAAAGCGAUGGCCAGCUGUCUCCCUCCGCGGCAUCUGCUAUCGAGAGAAGAUGGAACGAGGGGCGCCAGAGUUUCAUGGGGGCUUUACUCAUUCAUUUCAUUUAGGGACUCUGUUGGGGGGAGGGGCAGGAAUCGCAUUCACACAUGACAUUUCAAUUCAUCUCUACAAAUGAAGAGCGUCCUCCCCGUUGGGAGCUAUCUGUAUGUUCGCUUUGUCGGCAUCAGGUUCUGGGACUUUGAAGUCAAUUGCUGUCAGGCCAGGGAAAUAAAAUAAUUGCU